rnacentral:rRNA from 1 species
UACAGAGGGUGCAAGCGUUGUUCGGAAUUAUUGGGCGUAAAGCGCUUGUAGGCGGCCUGUUAAGUUCCGUGUGAAAUCCCCUGGCUUAACCAGGGAAGUGCGCGGAAAACUGGCGGGCUUGAGUGCCGGAGAGGGUCGCGGAAUUCCCGGUGUAGAGGUGAAAUUCGUAGAUAUCGGGAGGAACACCAGUGGCGAAGGCGGCGACCUGGACGGACACUGACGCUGAGACGCGAAAGCGUGGGGAGCAAACAGG